GAGUAUUGACUAUCUAAAUGAUUGUGGGAAAUACUAAAUGCAAAUAUAUCAAAUUGAUAACAGGAAUUCAUACAAUUUAUCUAUUUGCAUCCUGACCUGCCCACAUACAAGCUAAUUGGAAAGUUAAUAUUGUCAUCUUAAGGUAUAUUUGAGAUGUCUAUCCUCACAAAAUUCACUGUUAAGCCAAGUUAUGAUGAAAGAUUUUCACCAGCCAAGCUAAAAAGCGGGUACUACCAUACCAGAGUAUGCUCAAUCACCAGAAAAUGGCCAUCUUGUUUGGAUUCUAUGGUGAGUCAAUUGUAUAAGCAGCCUACAACUUAGUAGCAAGAGACAUAAAACACAAUAACAGACUCCUAAAUGCUUAAACACAUAGGUUCAGAAGGAAGCUAUAAUCACAUCUCUUAUCCAUAGGGGAAAACUUCAAAAAUGCUAAAAUGAAAGGUUAGUAAUGAAAAUGGCUGGAAUUCUCACAUUUGGUGGGCAGAGCUCCAAUCUAAAAUUUAAGUUCAAUCAAUAGAUAAUUUGGUAAUUCUACUGAAUUCCUUUGCAGUUUUGAACAGGAAAUAAUGCUCCUGGAACAUUUCCAUGCCAAGUUUGGUCUUUUCAGAAGAUGGAAAAUGAAGAAUACCAAAUUGAAAUUGUAAGCUGCCUUCAAUUUUUUUCCCAUUCAAGCACCGAACAAAAUUUUCAGAAUUCUAUUCUUCUCAAUUAAGCCCCUCCAGUAGAUGGUAGGAUCAACCUAAACACUGAUGGAUUCUUUUGGUGAUUUGACUUUUGUAAACAAAAAAGUGAAAGAGGCAGCACUGACACAUGGAUGGAUUCCAUUUUACCAAUGAACUUUGGACUUUAAAGUAAUAGACAAGGCUUCAACCUGGGUCAAUGAUGAGGAAAAAGUCAAAUUAUGAAGGUUGACCUAAGGUUGUUUAUACAACCUCCCAUUGCUUUUCUAUUCCAAUGCUAGACUUACCAAGGGCAGUCAAUUAAAACCAGGUUAAGAAUGGAGACGCAUAUGCCACACUCUAGGAAUGAAGCGAUUGUGCAAAUUGGCUGGUCAACUAAGGACAUCAGUUCCAUUUAGUCAGAUUCUCUUGGCAUGCCUCACCAAUGGGUCUGUGAAACUUAUCACAAUAUUACUGGUCCUCCAUAGUUAAAUGCAGCUGUGCUGUUGUUGGACUCAGUCCCUUUACCAAAAUAAGGACUUAAUGCCCUCACCAAAACAACAAAACCAACUGCUAAGUUGCUUGACCCUAUAACUACUUUAGCAGCUACACAAUCUCACUUUUGGCAGAAGAAGUAAAGAAACACAACAGAAGAACUAAAGAAAUACAAGGGCAUCUAGUUAUUCAAACUUUCCGCAUUGAAAUGCAUGCAUGCACACACAUUUUCUACAUUGUCUCAUGAUUUCAUGAAACAAUAUGUUACCAAUAAACAACAACAAUAACAAUAAACACAAAUAGAAUAAAUGAAGAGUGGGGUGAAGUGUAUGGUAGCAAUUCCAUAAUUGAAAUUUGAAACUAAUAAAUAAAAACAAAAAACAUGAAUUCAUAUAAGAUAUCCAGUAAAGACUGAAUUCUAUCAUUGAAUCUAAUAAAUAAAAAACACAUGAAUUCAUAUCAGAUAUUCAGUAGAGACUGCCUAGGGAACUAUCACAAAAGGAAUCAGAACAGAUUUACCAAAGCAUCAAUACAGUAGAUAAGAAAAAGGAAAAAGAAUGUCUUGCCAGCCAUAUGACAAACAACUGAGACUACAAGAUACUUGAAGUAGUCUAAAACAGGAACCUCCACAGCAAUGGUGAGAUUCUUUCUUCUUUUUUGUCCCUUAUUUUUUGUCAACCAAAUGAUAAAGAAUUUUCAGCAUGAAAACUGAAGCUUAAGUUCAUUCCUUAUGGUCUCAAGCCUCAAACUAGAGGGCAAGUGCUAAAAACCAUCAACAAAAACCAAAUAGCACAUCUUAAUCAAUAAGAGCUUUCAAGAACAAUAAGGCCACCCUAAGCAGAUCCACCCGUUAAAAUUAAUUAUUGUUAGAUGUUCUGCCAAAACAUAG
rnacentral:misc_RNA from 1 species